AAGAAAGAAGCGCAAACGGCUUAGUGCGGUUGGCUUGAAACCAGCAUGUGAGGGUUCGACUCAAUCCUUUCUUG
rnacentral:tRNA from 1 species